ACUCCUACGGGAGGCAGCAGUGGGGAAUAUUGCACAAUGGGGGAAACCCUGAUGCAGCCAUGCCGCGUGUGUGAAGAAGGCCUUGGGUUGUAAAGCACUUUCAGUAGGGAGGAAGGUAGUGUAGUUAACACCUGCACUAUUUGUACGUUACCUACAGAAGAAGCACCGGCUAACUCCGUGCCAGCAGCCGCGGUAAGUACGGAGGGUGCGAGCGUUAAUACGGAAUUACGUGGGCGUAAAGCGCAUGCAGGCGGCCUGUUAAGUCAGAUGUGAAAGCCCGGGGCUUAACCUCGGAAUUGCAUUUGAAACUGGCAGGCUAGAGUCUUGUAGAGGGGUUAGAAUUUCAGGUGUAGCGGUGAAAUGCGUAGAGAUCUGAAGGAAUACCAGUGGCGAA
rnacentral:rRNA from 1 species